GGGAUUUUGCGCANGGGGGAACCCUGNCGCAGCAACGCCGCGUGGAGGAUGAAGUCCUUCGGGACGUAAACUCCUUUCGAUCGGGACGAUUAUGACGGUACCGGAAGAAGAAGCCCCGGCUAACUUCGUGCCAGCAGCCGCGGUAAUACGAGGGGGGCGAGCGUUGUUCGGAAUUAUUGGGCGUAAAGGGUGCGUAGGCGGUUUGGUAAGUCUGAUGUGAAAUCUAUGGGCUCAACUCAUAGUCUGCAUCGGAAACUGCCGGGCUUGAGUGUGGGAGAGGUGAGUGGAAUUUCCGGUGUAGCGGUGAAAUGCGUAGAUAUCGGAAGGAACACCUGUGGCGAAAGCGGCUCACUGGACCAUAACUGACGCUGAUGCACGAAAGCUAGGGGAGCAAACAGGAUUAGAUACCCUGGUAGUCCUAGCCCUAAACGAUGACUGCUUGGUGUGACGGGUACCCAAUCCCGCCGUGCCGUAGCUAACGCGUUAAGCAGUCCGCCUGGGGAGUACGGUCGCAAGGCUGAAACUCAAAAGAAUUGACGGA
rnacentral:rRNA from 1 species